AUUCGGAAAGGGUCACGGAGCCGGCGAUCCAUCGAAUGUCGGCGUCGAGCCGGAGGGAGCUCCCUUGGAAGACCAAGGUUUCGGCUGGAAGAAUAAGUUUGGAACGGGCAAGGGAGGAGAUAC
rnacentral:SRP_RNA from 1 species